GGGUCAGUAGGUUGGUCGUGCCACCGGUACGUACUGGUCUCACUGAUUCCUCCUUCCUGAAGAACUGUAAUGUCAUUAAUUUGGUGUUGCGGGGAAACAGGACUGUUACUUUGAAAAAAUUAGAGUGUUUAAAGCAAGCUAACGCUUGAAUACAUUGGCAUGGAAUAAUGAAAUAGGACGAUCGAUCCUAUUUUGUUGGUUUCUAGGAUUGACGUA
rnacentral:rRNA from 1 species